UAGAGUUUGAUCCUGGCUCAGGAUGAACGCUAGCGACAGGCUUAACACAUGCAAGUCGAGGGGCAGCGGGGAGGUAGCAAUACUUCCGCCGGCGACCGGCGCACGGGUGAGUAACACGUAUGGAACCUGCCCGUAGCAGGGGGAUAAACGGAAGAAAUUCCGUCUAAUACCGCGUAAUAACUCCGAGAGGCAUCUCAUGGAGUUUAAAGGGUAACACCGGCUACGGAUGGCCAUGCGGCGCAUUAGCUAGUUGGCGGGGUAACGGCCCACCAAGGCGACGAUGCGUAGGGGUUCUGAGAGGAAGGUCCCCCACACUGGUACUGAGACACGGACCAGACUCCUACGGGAGGCAGCAGUGAGGAAUAUUGGUCAAUGGGCGCGAGCCUGAACCAGCCAAGUCGCGUGAGGGAAGACGGUCCUAUGGAUUGUAAACCUCUUUUGUCGGGGAGCAAAAGACGCCACGUGUGGCGUUCCGAGAGUACCCGAAGAAAAAGCAUCGGCUAACUCCGUGCCAGCAGCCGCGGUAAUACGGAGGAUGCGAGCGUUAUCCGGAUUUAUUGGGUUUAAAGGGUGCGCAGGCGGAAGAUCAAGUCAGCGGUAAAAUUGAGAGGCUCAACCUCUUCGAGCCGUUGAAACUGGUUUUCUUGAGUGAGCGAGAAGUAUGCGGAAUGCGUGGUGUAGCGGUGAAAUGCAUAGAUAUCACGCAGAACUCCGAUUGCGAAGGCAGCAUACCGGCGCUCAACUGACGCUCAUGCACGAAAGUGUGGGUAUCGAACAGGAUUAGAUACCCUGGUAGUCCACACAGUAAACGAUGAAUGCUAGUUGUCCGGGGCGAUUGAGUUCUGGGUGACACAGCGAAAGCGUUAAGCAUUCCACCUGGGGAGUACGCCGGCAACGGUGAAACUCAAAGGAAUUGACGGGGGCCCGCACAAGCGGAGGAACAUGUGGUUUAAUUCGAUGAUACGCGAGGAACCUUACCCGGGCUCAAACGCAGGAGGGAUGUUUUUGAAAGGAGGCAGCCAGCAAUGGUCUCCUGCGAGGUGCUGCAUGGUUGUCGUCAGCUCGUGCCGUGAGGUGUCGGCUUAAGUGCCAUAACGAGCGCAACCCCUACCUACAGUUGCCAUCGCGUGAUGGCGGGCACUCUGUGGGGACUGCCUGCGCAAGCAGUGAGGAAGGCGGGGAUGACGUCAAAUCAGCACGGCCCUUACGUCCGGGGCGACACACGUGUUACAAUGGCAGGUACAGCGGGAAGCCACCCGGCGACGGGGCGCGGAACCCGAAAGCCUGUCUCAGUUCGGAUUGGAGUCUGCAACUCGACUCCAUGAAGCUGGAUUCGCUAGUAAUCGCGCAUCAGCCAUGGCGCGGUGAAUACGUUCCCGGGCCUUGUACACACCGCCCGUCAAGCCAUGGAAGCCGGGAGUGCCUGAAGUGUGCAACCGCAAGGAGCGCCCUAAGGUAAAACUGGUGACUGGGGCUAAGUCGUAACAAGGUAACCGUAA
rnacentral:rRNA from 1 species